AGAUUGAACGCUGGCGGCAGGCCUAACACAUGCAAGUCGAGCGGUAGAGAGGUGCUUGCACCUCUUGAGAGCGGCGGACGGGUGAGUAAUGCCUAGGAAUCUGCCUAGUGGUGGGGGAUAACGUUCGGAAACGGACGCUAAUACCGCAUACGUCCUACGGGAGAAAGCGGGGGACCUUCGGGCCUCGCGCCAUUAGAUGAGCCUAGGUCGGAUUAGCUAGUUGGUGAGGUAAUGGCUCACCAAGGCGACGAUCCGUAACUGGUCUGAGAGGAUGAUCAGUCACACUGGAACUGAGACACGGUCCAGACUCCUACGGGAGGCAGCAGUGGGGAAUAUUGGACAAUGGGCGAAAGCCUGAUCCAGCCAUGCCGCGUGUGUGGAAGAAGGUCUUCGGAUUGUAAAGCACUUUAAGUGGAGGAAGGUUGUAACUUAAUACGUUGCAACUUUGACGUUACCGACUAGAAUAAGCACCGGCUAACUCGCGCAGCAGCCG
rnacentral:rRNA from 1 species